GAUAGGAAGUUCCCUUCGGGGCUUUCUACAAGGUGCUGCAUGGUUGUCGUCAGCUCGUGCCGUGAGGUGUCGGGUUAAGGUCCCAUAACGAGCGCAACCCUUAUCGUUAGUUGCCAUCUGGUAAAGCAGGGGACGUCUAGCGAAACUGCCACCGUAAGGUGAGAGGAAGGUGGGAUGACGUCAAAUCAGCACGGCCCUUAUGUCCAGGGCUACACACGUGUUACAAUGGUCGGUACAGAGGGCAGCUACCUGGUGACAGGAUGCUAAUCUACGAAAACCGGCCUCAGUUCGGAUCGAAGUCUGCAACUCGACUUCGUGAAGCUGGAUUCGCUAGUAAUCGCGCAUCAGCCAUGGCGCGGUGAAUACGUUCCCGGGCCUU
rnacentral:rRNA from 1 species